UCCUACGGGACGCAGCAGUCGAGAAUAAUUCACAAUGGGGGCAACCCUGAUGGUGCAACGCCGCGUGGAGGAUGACGGUCUUCGGAUUGUAAACUCCUGUCAUCCGGGAGCAAGACCUGGUCGUUAAUAGCGAACAGGGUUGAUAGUACCGGAAGAGGAAGGGACGGCUAACUUCGUGCCAGCAGCCGCGGUAAUACGAAGGUCCCGAGCGUUGUUCGGAAUCACUGGGCGUAAAGGGAGCGUAGGCGGCGUGGUAAGUCAGAUGUGAAAUCCCGGGGCUCAACCCCGGAACUGCAUCCGAUACUGCCGUGCUAGAGGAUUGGAGAGGUAGCUGGAAUUUACGGUGUAGCAGUGAAAUGCGUGGAUAUCGUAAGGAACACUCGUGGCGAAAGCGAGCUACUGGACAACUCCUGACGCUGAGGCUCGAAGGCCAGGGUAGCGAAAGGGAUUAGAUACCCCUGUAGUCG
rnacentral:rRNA from 1 species